GGGAACGGCUGUGAAUUGGAGAGGCGUAUGGUCUGAAUUACAGAGAAGCUGCUGGAUCUGUUGAGAUUGGUGUCUGACAACUAGGUGUGCAAGGAAAGACUGGCUACCCCUUGAGCUAAUACUG